GCCAGAGUGGCGGAAUGGCAGACGCGCUGGAUUCAAAAUCCUGUAUCCGCAAGGGUGUGUGGGUUCGACUCCCACCUCUGGUAC
rnacentral:tRNA from 1 species